AGUGGUGGGGAUGAUGCACACACCACACGACCACUUGUUGAAUGCCGUCUGUGAAUUUUAUACAUACGAAUCCACAAAUAGGAGAAUAAUCUAUUAGAUUUAAAAAAAAGAAGAGAAAAGAGCAUCAAGGAAUGAAUUGUCACCGCUUGUUGAAAUACAACAGAGCAAGAAUCGUGGUAUCAAUACUCUGUGAAUAGAGUGAAUUCGACGGGAGGAAAACAAGAAGUUCAAAUGUACAAGUAUAUUUCAGGCGCUCGCCCGCACUCACGACUUCCAUCCUCUCCGAGCAAUGCUAAAACAAGAGGACAACGGUGCCGUGAAAUACACUAAAAAUACGUAGAAUCGUUGGCACACGAUAACCCAGAGCGCACUUGCGAUAUUAUGCGGAUUUUGGAAAAUCUCUUCCGGUAUAAAUAAAUACACCACGUGCAACCAUCCGUGUUCCUCAAAUUUUUCGCAGUUUUUUAAAUUAACUUAGAAGCUUUUAUUUAUAGAGGUGCUUAGAAAUUCUAAUUUUAUU